GUGGGCAGUUUAGGCAAUCUCUACAGCAGCGUCGAGAAACUGAACGAUGUGUACAUCAAAUCUUCCAAGAAAGACAUUCUCUUGAAACCCAAAGCACCCGCCUGUGUCUCUGAAAUCCCAUUAAUAUUGUCUGAGAGUUCUUCAGAUUCAACGCCCAAGACCUACUACAGGUGCAACCGUUCGUCUAGUUACGGUUACGGUUACCCUGACGAGGACGAUUCAUCUAGUCACUGUUUGAGCUAUGUGGCGGAGGACCCUUCUGCAAAUUGUCCCCAGUGCAAUUGUUCCAUGAACCAAACACUCACUCUCGUGAAAUCACAGGCUGGUAAACCAACGGCUGCUGCGGCAUCACCAGCUGAAUCGAACAGUAAGGGUGGUUUCGUGCAAGGGGUGGUUACGUACAUGGUGAUGGACUAUCUGGAGGUAAAGCCGAUGUCGACUAUAUCGAGCAUUACUUUGCUUAAUGAGUUCAACGCGAAGGAGAUUGGGCUACUUGAGGAGAAGGUGGUCAGCUUGGGAAUGGACGAGGUAAGCCCAUUCCGUUCCUUCCGAUUAGGAAAUGUUCUGAUUUUAGAAGUGACUCAAUGAUUAUGUGGAAAAUCUAUUUUAAGAGACGUAUAAAUUACAAAUGAAAUUGAUCGACGUGAGUUGUGUGAAAAAAAAUAAAAAUUACUAGCUCUGUCCCAUAAAGGUAUUCUCCACUAAUUAUUGGUAUAUAUGGAUGAUCCAGAUUUUAGCUUUUGUACUAUCAUUAGAGACGCUUGCAGGGUAAAAGAAGAUCGUGUUCGCCAUUAACACAGGGGCUUAUAAUGUAACUGUCCUUUUUUAAUUAUUUGUUUUGUUAUUGUGAAGGGUAUAAAGCUGCUGAGGACCUCAUUUCACUCAAAGAAGGUUCUCACCGAUUUAUUCCUCGGUGAGAAGUGAGAUCGUGACAUAUAUGUGUGUGUGUGAUGAGUUGGUCGUGAGUAUGCUAUGAGGAUCUUGUGGAUUAGAAAACUUCUGGAACUUGAAAGUUUUAUGGAUUAAAUUUAUAUUGUCUAGAGACAAACAGGCAAUCCCUUGUUAAGGCUGAGGCAGCCGUGUUUGCGGGAUACAUGCCUUUUUCAAUCACCCAAGGUCUCUUACAUAGCCCCUUCAUGGUAUAUGCGUUCUGACUUUGUGAUAUGUUAUGCAAGAUUUGCAGUGCGGAGUGACCUUUUUAGUUUUAUUUUAUUUUUGGAAAUUUUAGCAUGUUUAUGGUCUCUUUUUGUGAAAUAAUUAUAUUAUUCUGGUUGUAAAAAUGAUGUGAACAUGCUGAAGAAAGAAUAUACGUCUCAUAGCCUAUAAUGAAUGCUAAAGCAUAUGUCGGAAUUGUGGAACCAAUAUAGACACGCCAUUGGUGAAAUUAACUGUGCUGGAGGACGUGGGAUGACAAAUGCUUUGGCAUAAAGCAAGGACAAAUCAUAAACAUUCAUCAUAAGAAGACAUGGUAAUAUCUAUGUUCAAGAUGUCGAAUCUGACUCUAUCAAAUGUCUUGUUUCUAUCAAAGAUGAGAGCAACUUAUGGCAUAGAAAGCUUGGUCAUAUCAACCUAAAGCAUAUCCAUAAACUAUCUUCAAUAGACUUAGUUUAAGGCUUACCAAAGAUGAAUUAUGAAAAGACAGAACUCUACCUUGCAUGCUCACUAGGUAAGCAAGUAAGUUCUUUCAAAUCUAUAAAUUCAGUCUCUACUAAUUAUGUAUUGCAGUUUCUACACAUGGAUCUCUUUGGACCAACAAGAAGUGUAAGUCUUGGUGGUUGGUAAGAGAUACUAUUUAGCAAAUAAAUGUGAAGCCUUUCAAACCUUUAUUGUAUUUGCGAAUGAGGUCCAAAAUGAGAAGGACUAUGCAAUUUGUGCUAUUGGAACCAAUCAUGGGGGAAAAUUUGAAAACCAAAAUUUAUCUGAUUUGUAUGAUGAGAAUGGAUUCGAUCACAAUUUCUCUUCUCCAUAUACUCCAUAAUAGAAUGGUGUAGUUGGAAAAAAAAAAAAAACAAAGAACAGUCACUAUAGGAUAUGGCAAGAACCAUGCUAACAGAAAGUGGCGUUCCAUCGUACUUCUAAUUAGAAGUUGUGGCAACCUCAUGAUAAAUCAUUAACCAAGUCUUCUUAAUGCUAUUAUUGGAGGAAACCACCUAUGAGCUCUUCAAGGACAAAAAUGCAAAUAUCUCUUACUUUCAUGUGUUUGGUUGCAAGUGUUUCAUUCUCAUGAACCCCAAUGGCAACACUGGUAAAUUUGAUCCAAAGUCAGUUGAAGGUAUUUGUCGUGACCUUCCCUCAAGUAUGCCACCCGGAGGAUGGCUAAUGGAUUACCAAACUUAUACUUAGGAUGGGCUUUCCCAAGGCCACAUCAAUUCACAACUUUCAAAUUAAUUAGCGUGCAGAAUCAAUUCAAUUAAGAGUCGCCACUAAUUGAUUAUCAGUACGUCAAUUAGACACCUAAACAAAGUGUGGGAGCAUUAUUUACUUCAGCAAACCAGAAAUUAUGUAUGCAUAACAGGAUGAUGUGAAUAAGUGACCUGAUAAAUAUCCGACCUUUCUCGGACAUAGCAAUAAAAGUUCUCACAGAGGAUACCUGGACAAUCACAGGUGCUCAAAGAGGAUAGAGUACUUAUAGACAAUCACAAAUACUCAAAAUAAGGGUAGAGAUGCGCUUACUUGGCAAACGAGUCCUAAUCAUUUUUUUUUUUUAUAAUACUAUCAAGUCUUCAUUUUGCACUAUAUGAAAUCGAGUUCGAAUUUUGCUGUCGUUGGUGUCCAAUUGCAAGAAUUCCCAAAUAUUAUGAUCUGGACCAAUGCCGGCAACUUCGCUCGUCCAGAUUUAGAGUCAUCAGUUCUGCCCUGCGAACUUCCAAAUCUAUGGCCAUUGUUCUAGACUUUCAGACCUGGUGAUGGCAGCUCAUCUAUAGCUUCGAGCGACGGUUCGCUAGGUGGUUGACUUCUGGAUGGACAACUACGACUCGAGAUCUCCAAAUUUGGCAACGGCGACUUGUCCAUAGCCGUGAGUGACGAUGGUUGGCUUGGACGCGGCGUCAGAAACUCCACAAUGGCGACGAUGAGGGGAGGUGCAGAGUUCAGGCCCAACAUCUCCAAUGAAGCGAAGAGGCUUCUAUAGCUAAAUAGAGAGCAUUUAUUCAAUUCUGCUAAUCUGAUUUCACAUCUAUGGACACAUGUCAAUUUAAUAGUGGACGUCAGUAAAAAUCUCUCGUCAUAUCGGCUAUUCAUGUGGCUUGAGGAAGAUAUGCAUGCACGCCUUAUAUUUAUGGCGUGAGCUCUCCGUUUAUCCUUAAUGCGGCCGCGUUCAAGCACACCACAAUAAGCGGGCGAGGUCCACCACUACCCAGCUUUGUUCAACUCUCUUUAUAUCUUAUUCCAUGUAACUAAUUGACGUCGAGUCAUCUUGGCAUGGUCUUAGGGCGAAAUGCUACAUCGGCCCUUUUUGCGUCGGCAUGUUACAAAGUAGAGCAACGCGAAAAGAAAAAGAAAGAGGGAGAAGAGAGCAUAUCAUUUACGAAUCCAAUAAAGCAAGAGGAAUCAUUCUCCGAGGUUAGGAAAUUUUUUAUUUUAUUUUAAUGAGAUCUCCAACCGAUUUUACUUUUUGUAGGACAUAAUUAGUUGAAUGUCUUCUCGCAUUUUGUUUACUAAAUAUAUGAUAUAGUUUAUUAUGGUCUUUUAAUUAAAGAAAAUUAUACUAAGAGUGUAAACUUUUUUGCAAAGUACAAUCAAGUGCUUAACAUUUUUGACAAUGCAAUCUAGUCCUCAUUUUGCAGUAUAUGAAAUCGAGUCCUAGAUUUAUUGCCAUUUGAAUCAAAUUGCAACAAUUCCAAAAUAUUAUAUUUUAUAGCAAAUUUAAGUACUAUUUCAACUGUAGCUAUAUAAUAAAACAUGUGGGCUUCGUCGAUCAUGGAGUAUAAGGCCUGGUUAUGACUAUUAGUUGGAAUAUAAUUCAAACUUUAUAGUAGAAGUGAAAGUUAGAUUAAAAAUUUAAAACUAUUUCUUAUGUCUCAACGAGUCAAGAAAAGUUAGUGAAAAGUUUAAUUAAUCAUUUUUAAAUGGUGAAAAAAUGUUAUUCUCUUGUUUAUAUAUAUUUAAACAAAUCGAUGUUUACACGAGUAACAUUUAAGUAUGUUCAUAUAAUGUAUUUAAGCAUACUAUAAAAGAGUCAAAAGAAUGAAUACCAGCAGUUUGAUCAUCAAAAUGAAACUUUAUCAUGUACAUUGUCAUCAUAGGAUUAACCCUUUGUUGUUGACGAAAAAAUUAGGUACCGUAUAACUUCCUCAAGAAGCACGACGGGGCUGUGCUAAAGCGAAAAGCUUCGCCAGCAAGAAUCUGUCUCGAUAAUUUUCUUUCCGUCCCGUCCUGACCCAAAAGAAAAAGUGUCAACCUUGUCAACAGUUCCCCCCAUUUCCGGAACUCUUCGAUAAGAAAGGCAAAGCUCUCUGUCUGGAACCAAGACUUGUGAAGAAGCAGCCUCACACUUGCAGGGUCGAAGCGACGAUCCAGAGGUGCACAUUUUGUUAUCACUCUGUGUUUUGUGAGCUCAGCUUACGAUUAUUCUCUGUUGACAUUAAGAGUGGUUCGCUUGAAAUCACCACAUCCAAUUCAUGUAGAUGUUACUUCAUGAAACUUCUGCAGAUUUACUCAUUCAACAAAAGAAAGAAACUUUUGCAUACUCCAUCUUCUCUUGCUUUGCAUUGAGACCGCCUCCCGAUUGCUCUCUCUAGUUCCAGCUCGAUUUGAAAUAUUUCGGUGAAUUUGUGAUGAUCUGGCGUGAUCAACUUGGAUCAAAGCUCAGAGUGGUGACUAUUGAAUAGACCAGCCGUUAAAAGAAGUCAAACUCGAUUCUAUUGCUAGAGACAAUAGAAUGAAAAAUGAAAUAAAUAUCAUCAACUUCUUUGCAGCACCCUGACUCUUCAUUUGUUUCUUCCUUUUUCACUCCCUCCGUUUCUUAACAAUUUGGCCCUUAGAUGGAUAAGUACUGCCACUGCACAAACGAUGAUCGGCCAAAUCUCCAUUGUAUCUACUCACAAGGAGCAUUGACAUGUCUCAUCUUCCUCUCUGCAUACAGUCACCCAAAGAAUGGCGACAGAGAAAGUGAGCUUGAAGCUUCUGGUCAACAAGAGCAACCGAACGGUGCUCUUUGCUGAAGCAGGCAAAGAUUUUGUAGACUUCCUCUUCCACUUCCUUGCAUUGCCGGUCGGAACGGUGAUCCAGCUCCUCACAAAAACCGGGAUGGUGGGCAGUUUAGGCAAUCUCUACGGCAGCGUCGAGAAGCUGAACGAUGUGUACAUUGAACCUUCCAAGAAAGACAUUCUCUUGAAACCCAAAGCACCCUCCUGCGUCUCUGAAAUCCCACUUAUAUUGCCUGAGACUUCUUCAGAUUCAACGCCCAAAACCUACUACAGGUGCCCUCAACGUUCGUAUCAUAACUGUUCAGGCUAUGUGGCAGAGGACCCUUCUGCACAAUGUCCCCAGUGCAAUAAUUCCAUGAACCACCCAAUUACUUUUGUCAAAUCACUGGCCCGUAACCCGGCGGCUGCUGCGGCAUCAGCAGCUGAAUCAAAUAGUAAGGUUGGUUUCGUGCACGGGGUGGUUACGUACAUGGUGAUGGACGAUCUGGAGGUGAAGCCAAUGUCGACUAUUUCGAGCAUUACUUUGCUUACCCAGUUCAACGUGAAGGAGAUUAGGCAUCUUGAGGAGAAGGUGGUCAGCUUGGGAAUGGACGAGGUAAGCCCAUGCCAUCCCUUAUGACUAGGUUAUGUUUAGAUUUUAGAAGUGACUCAACGAUUUGUGGAACCUCUAUUUUAAAGAAGUACGAAUUACAAAUGAAUUUCAAUCGACAUGAGUUAUGUGAAAGAGAAAUUACUAGGUCCAUCCCAUAAAAAAUAUUCUCAACAAUUUUUUGGUAUAUAUCGAUUAAUCAAAAUUUUAGCUUUUGUACCAUUAUGUAUAUGCUUGUAGGUUAAAUCAAGAUCGUGUUCACCAUUAAUACAGAGCUUAUAAAGUAAAUGUCCUUUAUUAAUUAUUUGAUUUGUAACUGUGAAGGGUAUAAAGCUAUUGAGGACUUCAUUUCACUCCAAGAAGGUUCUCACUGAUGUCUUUCUCGAUGACGAAGAGAUCGUGAUCAAGUGACUAUAUAUAUGCGUGUGGGGAUGUGUGAUAUAUGAAGUAUGUGGAGUGAUAUGCUCUGAUUUUGUAAGAGUUUAUGCAAGUCGUGCAGCGCGGACUGAUAUUUUUAAGGUUUUUCGUUUUUGUGUGGACGUUUUAGCAAGUUUAUCGUCUCUUUUAGCGAUAUGACUGUAUUAGUCUGGUUGUAAAAAUGAUGUGAACAUGCUGAAGAAAGAAUAUAAGUCUCAUAGCCUAUAAUGAAUGCUAAAGCAUGUGUCAGAAAUGUGGAACCACUAUAGACAUGCCACUCGUAAAAUUAACGGUGCUGGAGAACGUGGGGUGACUAAUUUUAAAGUAAUUCGAAAAUGUCCCUGGUAAGUUGGCACCUAUGUCGUGGGGUUGGGUCCAACUGAGUGCCCAACUCUCAAUCCAUGAGAAGUUGUCCUUGAUACUCUAUUGCAUAAGCUUGGAUAUAGAGGUGAAAAAGACAAUAGCUUGAUUCAUCGCCUAAAUGAGAUCGGCUCAACUUUUUUUGAGCUUAAGUCAUGCUCAAGUAACUGGAUUAGUUUUUCGAGUUCAGUUCGAGCUUAAAGAUACUUGUCUCGAUCUUCUCAUGGGCCUAAUCGAGCAUACUAAUUUUGUUAUAGAUUUUCCUUACUAUUUUUAGUGAAAAAAAUGCAAAAUGUACUUAUAAUUCUACUUCUUACUAUGUUAUUACACUUUCAUUCUUUGACACAUUUUUAAACAUAAACAAAAGGAGCAAAUGCAAGUGUUUCAAGCCAAGCUGUGUUUGAUUGAGCAAGAAAAAAUAACGUAUGUUGAAAUGGGUCAGUGAAAUUGGGUCAAUGAGGGUGUUCCAUCCUUGAUUUUUCAAGUGCAUGAUUGCUAAUUUGAUCAAAUUAAGCCAAAUGGAAGUGAUUUUUUCAAAAUUAAUAUUGAAAUUGAGUUCCAUCCAAUCAAUUGUAUCCAAUUUUGGCUAAUUUUCACUCAUAAUAAUGAAUUGAUUCAGAACCCCUAAUUGGGUCAAAAUUGGGGAAAUUUGUUGAUGAGUUGUAAUCUCAAAAUUGGCAUAACAAUUAAAUGCACUAUGACCUAUAGAUCAAAUGUCGUAAAAGAAACCAUCUCAAAUGACGACUAGAAAUGUACUAAUUUUUAUUUUGGCCAAUUAAAUAUCAAAAUUCCCAAUUGGGGAAAAGUCGACUCCUAUUUGAUUUUUGCAAAAUUGAUGAUAGAGAAGUCAAAUUGAAAUAAAAAUAUGUUGAUUUGUGAGUUUUUCCAUUUUUUCCUUUUUUUAAUGGUUGACCAUUUUCAUAUUUUCUAAAAUUGAAAGUGCAAAUAUGAAUUUGACACCAUUUUUUUUUAUUAAUAAGCUAAAUUUUGGCCAAAUUUUGAAUUUUUUUAAAUAAAAUUUUGACAAAAAAUUCAACUCUAAAGUCAAAUUUUUAACUUUUCAAAAUUAAAGUACAAAUAAAUCGUAAUUGAAGGGCCAACACUAAUUCAAAUGCUAAAUAGCUCUUUUUGGCAUGAUACAGCCCCUGUUUUUUUUUUUUUUUUGGUCGGAAAUACUUAGCACUUUAUUUACGAAGGGAAAGCAUUACAACCCGUUUUUAGGGCAUCAAUACAUAGCGUAUCCAGAAUAAUCUGAGGAGGUGAGGAGGCCCAGUUUGAGUUCAAAAAGCCACGGCCAAAGGCCUUAGCGGCCCAGUCGGCGAGGGAGUUCGCUUCCUGUCUACAGUGGCACAGGCGUAAGUGGGAAAAUCGGGAGAUCAAAUCUGCAACUUCCACAACUAGGUUUCGGCAGUCCCAUGGUGGCGAUCGGUGAUCGUUGAUCGUCUCUACCAUUACCAAACAAUCGGAAUCAAUUUGCAGGUGAUCAUCUGUCAUCCCUUUUUGUAACAGAUAGUGAAGAGCUUGAUGUAGGGUUCGAAUCUCCAUUUGUAGAGGAGAUGAAGCGGGAACGAUCUGGGAGGAUCCACCAAUCAAAUUGCCUUCAUGGUUUCUGCAAACACAAGCGACCGAGCCUGUUUGAUCUGCUAUAGGGAAAGCCCCAUCAAUAUUCACUUUGAUUGUUCCUUGUGGUGGAGGAUUCCAGAUCCGAGAGGUAGGCAACACCAAUCGCCCUGUAGUUGUUGCGUUCUUCUGCUUACUACGAUUAAGCUCUGCAUUUGUAAGUGCCAGAUCUACAACCUGUUCAUGUGUUGACCACUUGUUGCAGAAGAUGAAGUGAUUCCUCACUUGCCAAAUCUGCCAAAGAAGGGCUACCACUGUCUCCAGUUCAGGUACGUUUACUCCCUGCAUUAAUAGAUCUGCUAGCCAAUUAGACAUCCUGUGUGUAUUGUAUGCUGAAAGAUUAAUUUGCACUUUGGGAUGGGACCAAAUGCCCUAUAUCUAUGGGCAAAGGAGAAAUAAGUGUUCGGUGGUUUCAGGAAGAUGAGUUUGACAUAACUGACAUUCUGGGUCAAGGAUGAUAUGUUUCGAAGUUUGGGGGCUGUCUUUAGUUGCCAAAUCUUGCGCCAGACGGGGCUUAGGAGUUAAGGGGAUAUGGAUGCAAAGUUGGGAAGGUGUUUGGGAGCAUUUUGUUUAAUGAACUUGUAGCCGCUUUUGACCGUAUAGUCUUCAGUAGGUAUUCCUAUCCAUAUAAUUUGAUCUGUGGUCGGAAUUGAACUGAGAGGUAUGGUAACAAUCUCCCUGAUAAUCUGGUCAUCAAAACUUUGUCGAAGAAGAGGAACAUUCCAAUUAGUCUGAUUUUGUUGAAUAAAACUUCCAACCAUUUCUGGCUCUCCUCUUCUAGCUGGCCCACCAAGAGUUCCUCUAGCUAACCAUUUAUCAUUGCGAAUGUGAAUGCAUUGGCCAUUCCCAAUUGACCAUUGAAGCUGAGCUGAGAUGAAAUCUCGACCUAACAGCAGACUUUGCCAGCCCCAUGACGGAGUAGAUCCUCUAGGUGCAUGCUAAAAAUCAGUAGAAUGAAAGUAUAAACCUUUAAACACACGGCUCCACAAAAAUGAAGGGCAUUGGGAUAUUCGCCAUGCCUGUUUACCGAGUAGUGCUUUAUUAAGACUAAGUAGGUUGCGAAAACACAGCCCCCCAUUUUCCUUCCUUUCUUGAAGUAGGUCCCAACUUUUCCAAUGGAUGCCCGACUUAGUACAACUAUUUUGUCACCAAAACUGUGCUAUCUUCUGCUCAAUAGACUUGCAUAGAGAGACUGGAAGUUUAAAAAUUGACAUAGCAUAGUUUGGUAAGGCCUGUACCACAGAUUUCAGUAAUAUUUCCUUCCCACCUUUGGAUAUAAGCUGUUCUUUCCACCCCACCAACUUGGCACUAACCCUCCUUAGUAUCCAAGCAAACAUAUUAUUCUUAGAAACUCCCAAAUCAGAUGGUAUUCCUAAGUACUUGCCAGUUUUUUCAAUCAAAGGUACUCGCAAUUCACUGGCCAGAUUGUGCUUUAAUGUAUGAGGAUAGGCUCUACUAAGAAAAAGUCUAGAUUUGUUUCUAUUCACUGCUUGACCUGUAGCUAGACAAUAUUGUUGUAGGAUGUUGGCUAAAUUUUGGCAUUCAAGUAGGCUUCCAUCUAAGAAAAAUAUCGCAUCAUCGACAAAAAAUAGGUGAGAGAGGGUAGGACACCACUUGUUAAACUGAAUUCCUUUGAGAUUUCUCAUAUCGACUGCUUGUUGAACGAGGGUUGAUAAAACAUUAGCCACUAGGAUGAAUAUAUAUGGAGAGAGAGGAUCGCCUUGGCGCAGUCCUCUUGUAGGAUGAAAAUAGGGUAACGGCUGUCCAUUGAAUUUAACGCUAAGGGAAACCGUUGUUAUGCACUGCAUCACCCAUUGCACCCAUUUGUUGUGAAACCCGAGCUUGCACAAAUAGGCCUCCAAAAAGUCCCACUCGACUUGAUUAUAUACCUUUUUCAUAUCCAACUUUAAAAUGGCCUGAAAUUUUCUCUUUCUUACCUUGGUUUUUAGUUGGUGUAGGACUUCUUGGACUACUAAGAUGUUAUCCUAUUUGUCUACCAGUCACAAAGGCGCUCUGCUCCGUCAAGAUCAACUCAGGUAACCAAGGUUUUAGUUUGUUCGCUAAUACUUUGGAUAUGAUUUUGCAAAUAAAAUUACAGAGGCUAAUGGGAUGAUAAUGAUCUAACCUUUCAGCAUGCGGGACCUUUGGAAUCAGAGUAAUGAGCAUUCUGUUUAAAGCUGGGGCCAUCACACCUGUUCUGAAAAAAUUCUGCACAGAGGUAAAUAUAUCUUCUUGGAGUAUGUCCCAAUAAUUUUAGUAGAACAAACCAUUAAAACCAUCUAGCCCCGGGGCUUUAGUUGCCCCCAAUUGAAAGGCAGCGUGUUUAACUUCUUCCCGAGAAACCUCAGCUAUUAAAACUUGGUUCAUUUCCAUUGUAACUACUGAAGAAACUUGUGUCAGAAUAGGGAGAUAAUCACGGUUACCUGCCGACUGAUAUGAUUGCGAAAGUAAUCCAUUGUCAUAUUCUUCAGUUGGCUGGGAUCUCAAAUCCAUCGAUGGUUUUCAUCCUGAAGCAUAGUGAUACGGUUAUAUUGUCGUCUUUAUACAGUCGUCGAAUGGAAAAACUUUGUAUUUCUGUCCCCCCACUUCAACCAGUUAAUGCGCGAUCUCAUUGCCCAAUAUUGCUCCUCUUGUUGCCAUAGAUUUUGAACUUCUUCCUUAAGCUGAUUUAUUGUUACUUUAUCAUAGUUGGUGCUUGGUCGAUUGAUAAAUUGUUGAAGUUAUUGCUGUAACAGAUUAAUUCGAUCACGACCAUGUGAAAAUGUAGAUUUACUCCAUCGGGCAAGUACUGUAGAGACGAGUCGUAGCUUGUGAUCGAGGGGUGCUUGCUGUAGUGGUAAAGAAGCCCAAGCUUCUGCAAUGACUUGUCGACUCUCCUGAUUCUAAGUCCAAAAGGCUUCAAAAGUGAAGGAUUUAUAACGUUUCUGUUUGGGAAUAUUAGUGUUCAGUAAGAGGGGACUAUGGUCAGACACAAUUGCAGGUAAAGCGAAGACUUCGGCUGUCGGGUAAGAAACUCUCCACUCCAUGGUGCAUAACAUCCUAUCAAGAUGUUCUUUCACUGCAUUAUCCCCUGCCCUAUUAUUCACCCAAGUGAAAGCACAACCCUUACUUUCGACAUCCAUUAGCGAACAACUAUUUAUAAAUGAUCGAAAAGAGUGCAUCCUAUAGGACUCAGCUAACUUUUUUCCAACUUUUUCCCAAUGGUACAUUACCUUAUCAAAGUCUCCAAUGCACAUCCAUGGCAGGUUAUUAUAGUAGCUGAUCUGUCACAAUUCAUCCCAAAGCUGCUGUCUUUGGUGAUAGACCGCAGGCGCAUGGAUACAGGUGAUUCUCAUCAGGUUUCCUCUUGGAGUAGUAGUGCAUAACAAGUCAAUAAAGUAAGCAUUAUGUCUCUCUAUACAUAAAUGUACCUGCUCAUUCCAGAAAACAACCAUUCCUCUAGCCAAACCCACUAGACUCACCACAAAAGAUUUCGGGAAUUUCAACCUCCUCUGAAUGUUUUGGAUUACUAUGUUCUGGUUUUUCGUUUCCAUCAAAAACACUGUGUCAGGCCGUUCUCAAGCCACAAGGGCCUUAAGUGCUUGAACUGUUAGGGUAUUGCCUAGUCCCUGACAGUUCCAGCUAAGUAGUUUCAUUUGUCCAUUGGUGGCUUUUUGGGGCAAGCCACCACAGCCCAACUGUCUACCAUGUCAGUCUCAUAAAUCGGAUUGUCCAUUAGAUGUGAAUCAUUAAAAUCUUAUGUGAUAUAAGAAUGCGAUUCAUAAGGGGCGUAUCUUUUGGCCUUCUUGAGUGGAUUAGUCUUAGGAGGAAUUCUACUAGCCUUAAAUUUCUUUACUUUUGAAGAACUUGCCUCUAGAUCUUUGAUGAGGAUAUGCUGUUCCUGCACAGGGGUUUUCUGCUUUUACACGAUCUCUGUUCGUGUAAAGUCAGUGAGAGAUACCUGCUGGUUGACUAGACCUGGAGGAGAUUCAACUUGUGGAGCUAAGCAAACUUCCAGAGUGGCUUGUUGCUGGUUUGUGCCCUGAGGAGUACUAGGUAAGAGAAGAGUCGAGUGUUGCGGAGUUUCAGGUAUGACCUCCUCAACAGCAUCAUGGGUAGUAUUUGCCUCAUAGAAAGCGCGCCAAUACGGGCUAUGUUCCUGAACAUCAGCCCUUAACCAUUGGCCAUAGGAGAAUUUAUCUUUCCCAUCAAGUUGCGUUUUAUCAUAAGGUAUAGUUGGACAAUACAUGUCAUAAUGGCCAAUAACCCCACAUGAGUAACAAAAGUGGGAUAAUCGUUCAUAUCUGAAAUCCAGCCAUAUAUUUCUGCCUUCUAAUCGUAUGAGCUUCCAUGGUUGUAGUGGUUUUUGCAAAUUGAGUUCUACACGAGCCCUUCCUGCCCGUAAUGUCGUACCUUCUCUGCCUUCAAGCUUUACUUCUUGCACCUUACCAAUAUUUUGCAUAGUCUUACUGAUCAUCUCCUCUGUACAGCGUUCAAGAGGAAGGCCAAACACUUGCACCAAGAAUGCACAAGUAAUGAAGUCAUAGUAAUGAAAUGGGGUGUUUGGUAUCCGGGAUUUCAAGAUAACUAGAUGAUUCGAGAACAGCCAUGGACUAUUAUCUAACAUCCUCUGUUUUUCGGUUGCCGAGUUGAACUUAAACACAUAUAAUCCCUCCUCCGGUUGAGUAAUUUCAACUUUAUCAUUGCGCCAAACUCGCUUCAGGGUAUUCUAAAAAGCUGGGAAAUUGAUAGACGGAUUAGAGAGGACUUUACCAACCAAAAUUAAUUGACAUUCUGCCAAUGUCUCUGCAGGAGCAGCUUCAUCCCAUACAUCGACCUCUUGUUGGGACCAAAGGCUACCUAAUAUGUUACAUAGAGCAGCAAGGCGUGCGUCCCCUUCCUGACUUGUGGAUUCCAUCUGCAUGCAUGCCUUGGAAAAGAAGGUAUGUAUCUCGUAUAACCACUAUCGAAAGGAGCAAUUCAAAUAUCUAAACAGAGGAAGGAUUCCUGUAAAGCAAUUGGAAGGCUUGGUCGAUGGUCUCGGAUGCAAGGCGAAUGCGGAGAAAUUGGAACGUUGACAAGGGCAUCCAUUGAUGUUGAAGAUAGAAGUCAAAUUAAUGAAACACUGAACGAGAUUGAAGAGGAAGGGGAUUAUGGGUGGAACCAAGGAAAAUGGCAUCGGGUGGAUUCGAUGAAGGAAACCAUGGCCGGAAAAAAGAAAAUCGGUGACAAAACACCAAUUGAGAAACACAGUGACAGAAGAACCGAAGAAACCAGAUGUGGGUUUGAGGGUUUGUUGAUGAAGAAGACUACCAUAAGGUAGAGGGAAACUCUACAAGUCGAGAGAGAAAACCUGACAUGCAGGAAAACGAUGUGGUAGUGAAUCCCUAUUCUCAAGUUUGUUUUUUCUUUGUAUGAUGCAUGAGGUAAAAAUUAAGUGUCGAAAGCUGCCUCUCUUUGAGAGGGAGUUCAGAGACGAAUAUUAGAUUAUGCUAAACUUGUUUUUUCUAGAAUGACAUUAUCUCUUUUUGUUCCUAAAAACAAAAAAAGAAAACAAAAAGUAGAAUAUGUAUUUUUUAAUUUCUUGUUUCUCUUCCAAAUAUAUUCAUUGGUCACUGAUGUAUACUAGAGAAUAGAAAAAUUAAUCGACGUGCACAAAUAUAUUUUUAUUCUUUUCCAGUUAUAGGGAAUGGAAAAUUGGAAAUGUUACCAAACAACCCUAAGUGGCUGUGGUUAGCAACUUAGCACCACCUAGCUUUGCGUUGACACCUUUUUUUGGUUCAUGAUUUAUAAUUUUAUUUAUUUUAUAUCCCAUGUCACUUUUGAUGCUGAAUCAUGACAUGGUGUUAAGGUAUAAGGUAAAUGGCUAAAUUGCCACUUUUAGCACUCACAUGUUUGAAAGAAGUAGAAAAUAUUAGGCACUCCACAUCAGUGAACAUGUUUUUGGGCUCCACUUGUUGGGAGAUUUCAAACCCUCAUUUUUCUCUCUCCCUCAUUGUUACUCUCACUCCCUUCCCUCUCCUAUUGCCUUUUUUGGUCGAUGGGCCUUGCUCGUCUUCAUCAUCUUUAGUACACAACCCUCUUUCUCUAGUUUAGUCAAAAUAAAAUUUAAGAUCACCUUCACAAAAUAGAGUAUGCAUAACCAAAAUUUUCAGCUAAUUUCUAGGCCUCAUGUUCAAAUUGACAUGUUGACCCGAUUGUCCAUCACAAUUUCACAGAAGAGAAUCGAUAGGUCUCGUGUUUGAAUCGACAUCUUAAUCCAAUUUUCCAUCUCCAUUUCACUAAUAUGAACCGAUGGAAAUGAUCAGUUGUUCAAUCUUCGUGAAUUCUUUGCUUGCUUUUGCAUAUAUGAUAGCAACUUCUUCUUCCCUCUUCAUUUCUCAUUCCAUGAAACCCUAGUGAGAGAGAGGAGACUAAAUGAGGUCAUGAGAGAGGGGAGGAGAGAGAGUAAUGGAGGGGAAAAGAGAGAAAAAGGGGGUUUGAAAUCUCCUAACAAGUGGGGUCCAUCAAACAAGUGGAGUUCAAAGGGUGGAGUGGUCAUUCGUCGACUUGGAGUGCUAGGCAUGUCCAAUAUUUCUUUCGGAAAGAAGGGCAGCACGAACAAAAGAAAGAAGAAAAAGGAAAAAAAAAACAUAUGAUUUAUCAACCCAAUGAAGCAAAAGAAAUCAUAAUCCCUAUGUGAGUUUAAGAAAUUUAUUUUUCAUUUUUAUUAUAUCUCAAACCGAUCUCAAUUUUUGUAGGACAUAACUAGCAAAAUGUCUUCGCGCAUUUUCUAGACCAAACAUGUGAUAUUGUAUAUUGAGAUUUAUUUUUAAUUAAAGAAAAAAAACUAAAAACUCUUUACAAAAUACAAUCAAAUCUAAACAUUUUAAAAUGCAAUCAAGUACUCAUUGGCAGUCCGUGAAAUCGAGUUUAAAUUUGUUACCAUUGGUGUCCAAUCGCAAGAAUUUGAAAAAUAAUGAUAUGGACCAUCGACGUCGCUAGUCCAAAUCUAAAGGCGCCAGAUCUAGCUGCGAACUUCCAGAUUUACGACGAUGGCUCCGACUUCCUGAUAUGGUGACGACAGCUUGUCUAUAGCCACGGGUGGUUGACUUCCAAAUAUGCAACCGUGGCUUGAGAUAAUCCAAAUUUGGCGACCGUGGCUCGUCCAUGGCCGUGAGCAAUGAUGAUUGGCUUGGAUGUGGCACCAGAGGCUCUGUGGUGGUGACGAAGAGGGGAGGAACGGAGGCUGGGCUCGACAACUCCGUCAAAGUGAAGAGGCUUCUAUCGCUGAACAAAGAGCAUAUAUUCAGUUUUGUUUAUUUGAUCUCCCAUUAAUGAACACAUGUUAAUUUCAGAGUGGAUGUAUUUAAAUAAUGGGCGCCAUAUCAAUUAUUGAUAUUGUAUUAUGGGAUUACUGAAUAUUUUCUUCUAUAAAAGCAGACGGGAGGGAUGUUUCAAUUUUCAAGAAGAUAUUAAAAAAAAAAAAAAAAAGUAGACAAAAAAGUAGGGAAGAAGAAGAGGAAAAACAUAUCAAAGAGAGAGGAAGGUGCGGGGAGCAAUGAUGAUGUGUCCCAUUUUCUCUAUUUUUUAUUCCAUGUCACUAAUGAUGUCAGGUGAAUUGCUACGUCGGCACCUUUUGCGUCCGCAUGUUUGAAAGAAGAGCAAUAGGAACAAAAAACAAGAACAAAAAAAACAUAUGAUUUACGAAGCCUAUAAGAGAAAAAGGAAUCAUUGUUCCUACACCGAUGUUAGGAGAUUCAUUUUUUCAUUUUAAUUAUAUCUCAAACCAAUCUCACUUUUUGGUCGGACAUAUUAGUAAAAAGUCUGCAUUAUGUAGAUCAAACAUAUGAUAUCAUUUAUUGAGAUUUAUUUUUAAGUAAUGAAAACUAAAUAAAAAGUCCAAACUAUUUUAUAGAGCUAAACAAGUCCUACUCAUUUUUUUUUAAAACAAUAUCAAGUCCUCAUUUUGCACUAUUUGAAAUCGAGUUUUAAAUUUGCUGUCGUUGGUCUUCAAUUGCAGGAAUUCCCAAACAUUAUGAUCGGGACCAAUGCCGGCAACUUUGCUCAUCCCUAUAUGGAGUCACCAGUUCUGCCUUGCGAACUUCCAAAUCUACGACCAUGCUCUAGACUUUCAGAUCUGGUAAUGGCAGCUCAUCCAUAGCUUCGAGCAACGGUGGUUGACUUCUGGAUGGGCAACUAUGGCUCGAGAUCUCCAAAUUUGGCAACGGCGAUUUGUCCAUAGCCGUGAGUGACAAUGGUUGGCUUGGACACGGCAUCAACAGCUACGCAAAGGUGACGACGAGGGGAGGUGCAGAGUUCAAGCUUGACAACUCCAAUGGAGCAAAGAGGCUUCUGUGGCUAAACACACAGCAUUUAUUCAAUGUUGUUAAUUUGAUUGUACAUUUAUGGACUUGUGUCAAUUUAAGAAUGGAUGUGAGUAAAAAGUGCUUAUCAUAUCAGUCAUCCAUGUGGUGCUAUGGAAUCAUGGAAUAUUUUCUCUCAAAAAAAGUAUAGGAGAUAAGUUUCAAUUUUGAAGAAGAUAAUUAAAAGAAAAGAAGUAGAACAUAUCAAGAAGAAGAGGAAAACAUUUCGACGGAAGAGGAAGGUGAGGGAAGCAACGAUCGUCAAAAGAGGGGGGGGGGGGGGGGGGGGGGGGGUCCACCAUCACCCAGCUUUGUCCAACUCCUCUCUUUAUUUCUUAUUCCACGUAACUAAUUCACGUCGGGUCAUCAUGACGUGGUCUUAAGGCAAAUUGCUAAGGAUAAGUAUGUCGGAUUGCCCAAAUCAUAAACCAUCUAGAUUGGAAUGGAUCGGCAAGUUUGUUCCAAUUCUUGGAGAGAUUAGUCCGGUUCUCGAUUCUUGAUUCCAUAAAAAUGGAACUGGCAAUUUUUGGUCCGGACCGACUCUUUUUUUUUUAAUAUAUUUUUUAAUUUCUUAAAAAUAACAAUAAAACCUAAAAUUAGAAGCAAGUCUUGAAUAUUUUAGAUUUUUUAAUUUUUUUGCUAAAUGAUAAGUUCCAUGGGAUUGGACCAGAUCGAACCGACCGGUUGGUGUAGUUCAGUUCCUAUUCUAGGAUUGUCCGAUCCAGUCUCCAGUCCCAAAAAUUGAGAAUUGAUCCUCUCGAUAUGGUUCCUGAUUCCUAGGUGGAAUCGGAUUAAAUCGGGAACCGAUCAUCCCUAUGGAUUGUUACAUUGGUGCUUUUUGCAUUCCCAUGUUUGAAAGUAGAUGUUGCGACCUAAUUUUCGGGUGCACCACCUAAAACUAAGUUAUUGGACUACUAAGUUUUUAGACUUAGCUCGGGCUCUCCCAAGCUCAUACUAAUUCGCGACUUAAGAUUCAAACAUUUAACAUGCAAAUGAUUAUUAUCUAGGAAUCGCCACUAAUCAGUUUAAGGUAGGUCGAUUAGACACCUAAGUAAAAUAAUGGGAGGAUUAUUUUACUUCUACGAACCAGAGACUAAGGGUACGGGGACUUGGUUACAUUAGAUUUCUCUAAUGCUCUUUUGGUACCAUUUCUUUUUAAUUUUCAAAAAUGUUUUUUUUUCAGACCGUUUGGAUUUUUUUUAACCUAAGUUACCACCAUGCAAAUAUGGGGGGGGGGGGGGGGUCCACCAUCACCCAGCUUUGUCCAACUCCUCUCUUUAUUUCUUAUUCCACGUAACUAAUUCACGUCGGGUCAUCAUGACGUGGUCUUAAGGCAAAUUGCUAAGGAUAAGUAUGUCGGAUUGCCCAAAUCAUAAACCAUCUAGAUUGGAAUGGAUCGGCAAGUUUGUUCCAAUUCUUGGAGAGAUUAGUCCGGUUCUCGAUUCUUGAUUCCAUAAAAAUGGAACUGGCAAUUUUUGGUCCGGACCGACUCUUUUUUUUUAAUAUAUUUUUUAAUUUCUUAAAAAUAACAAUAAAACCUAAAAUUAGAAGCAAGUCUUGAAUAUUUUAGAUUUUUUAAUUUUUUUGCUAAAUGAUAAGUUCCAUGGGAUUGGACCAGAUCGAACCGACCGGUUGGUGUAGUUCAGUUCCUAUUCUAGGAUUGUCCGAUCCAGUCUCCAGUCCCAAAAAUUGAGAAUUGAUCCUCUCGAUAUGGUUCCUGAUUCCUAGGUGGAAUCGGAUUAAAUCGGGAACCGAUCAUCCCUAUGGAUUGUUACAUUGGUGCUUUUUGCAUUCCCAUGUUUGAAAGUAGAUGUUGCGACCUAAUUUUCGGGUGCACCACCUAAAACUAAGUUAUUGGACUACUAAGUUUUUAGACUUAGCUCGGGCUCUCCCAAGCUCAUACUAAUUCGCGACUUAAGAUUCAAACAUUUAACAUGCAAAUGAUUAUUAUCUAGGAAUCGCCACUAAUCAGUUUAAGGUAGGUCGAUUAGACACCUAAGUAAAAUAAUGGGAGGAUUAUUUUACUUCUACGAACCAGAGACUAAGGGUACGGGGACUUGGUUACAUUAGAUUUCUCUAAUGCUCUUUUGGUACCAUUUCUUUUUAAUUUUCAAAAAUGUUUUUUUUUCAGACCGUUUGGAUUUUUUUUAACCUAAGUUACCACCAUGCAAAUAUGGUGACCACACGAUGUGCUCAACUAUUUAAUAAAAUAAAUCGCAUCACACAAAACAAAUGAUUUUUUUUUUUGGAUUUUCAUUGAAAUUAGAAUUCUUUUAUAAAAAUGCAUUUUUUAACUAAAUGACUUAAUCUUAUUAAUAAGAAAAUUCUAAUUAAAUGAUCCUAUUAUGCAAACUAGUUAAUAUGCACCUCAUGACCUAAUUUUACUAGUAAAUAAAUUCUAAUAAAAUGAUCCUAUUAUGCAAACUACUUAAUAUGCACCUAGUAUUUUUGUAUUUUUUUUAUUGAAAUUCGGAAUUAAUAAAAACCCUAAUUAAACUAUCUAUAAAAGGAUAAUUUUCUAAUUUAUUCUAGGGAUUAAUUUGACUUAACCCUAUCUUAUCUUAGAAAACUAUAUUUGAAAGAAAAAUGUGAUAAGUAAAAUGUACGAACAUUAUCUAAAAAACUAAUUUAGGUCCAACCCUAACUUACUUCUAAAAAUGCAACCCUAAGAAUAUAAUACUAAGAAAAAAAAUUCUAAUUUACUAAACCUAUGAUUUUUUGAUUUUUUUAUAUUUUAAUUAUUAAAUAAAUAUUAAAUCUAAACUAUAAAAAAAAUAAAGGAUUAAAAUAAUCGAAAAAAUAACCUGUUGUCUCACAGGUCAAAUUAAUGAUUAAUUUAACCAUAAUUAUCACGACAAAGAGAUCAAAAUAAUUAAAAAUCUGAUCCGAAAUCUUACGGAUCAAAUUAAUAAUUAUAAUGAUUUACAAUUAAAAUUCUACCGAAAAGCCCAUAAAUUAAUAUAAUUAAAAAAAUAAUCCGAUGUCUCUCGGAUUAAGUUAAUAAUUAUAAUAAUUCCGGACAAAAUCCUAACAGAUAAUGCCUACAAAUGAACAAAUAUUAACAUUGACAAAUCAUAUUCUAACUUAAACAAUAAUAACAAAAUUUAAUAUGAAUAAAUAAAUGACAAUAAAAAUAAUAAAAAUAAACUACCUAGGUGAAAUUUUAAAAAGAGAGCGGCGGCAAUGAGCGGCGGCGCGGUGGCGUCGAGCUCCGGCGCAGGGGACGGCGGGCAAGGGCGGAGCAGCAAUGGCAAGUCGCGGGCCGGCGCGGACGUGUUGGGCGGAGCGGCGGCUGUGCGGGGUUGGUGAUGCCGGGGGCUCACCGGUGCGGCACGGGGAUGAUGGCGCGGCGGUGGUGCGGGUUGCUGCGGGUCACAGGUUGCUGCGCGGCGACGCUCGCGGGUGCUGGUGCGCGGAGGGAGCGGGGUGCGGCGAUGAACUCAAGCUAUCGGCGAAGGGAGAGCAACGAACGGGUGAGCUACUUCGGAGUAGGCGUUGGUGGGUCACUAGCAGAGGCGGGAGCAGCAGAUCUGGACAAAGACGGGGCCGGCGGCGCCGAGGGUUGAGGCGCGGUGCUACACGUCGAGGGGCAGAGCCGGCGGGAUGACGAUGGCGGAGGGGCAGGCCGCGGGUUGAGCGGGCGCUUCGCAGGCGAAGGGGAAGCUCCGGUGGCAAUGGGCGGCGGGCGUUCCGGCGUCGGGUUGCAGGCGGGGGCGCAGCCGUGAAGCUGCAGACGUCGGCUCGGUGCAACGAUGGGCAGGGGCGUCGGCUAGGGCGCGGGUUGUUGCAGGUGGAGAACGGCGUGCGGCUUCGUGGAGAAGGAACCCACGAAGAAGAAGCACAGUGCACGUCUUUUUCUUUUUCUCUCUCUCUCUCUCUUUUCUUUUUUUGACUUUUUGACUUUUCCCUUCUCCGAAGCGUUUUCUUUUGUGUUGCUUCUUCCCUAAGAACGAAUUCUCUCAAUUUUUUCGAAUAUUCCUCCCUCAGUUACGAAAAAAGCUCUCUUUUAUACUAAUUUCGAACGGCUGGUUUGAAUGGUAUUUUAUGAGUUUCUAUCUUCUGUUGCAUUAAAUCAAAGUUGCAAAUCAGAGCGUGAUUUUGCAAUCAGCUCGAUUUUACUUCGAUUUAUUCCGUUUUAUAAAAAUUCUUGCCAUUUAUUCACUUGAUUUUCAAAUUGCUUCUGCAUUUAACAAAAUCCGAAUACUCAUCAGAAUUUCAAAUUUCCAUGCAUAAUCAAUCAAAUCAAUUUCCCCAAUUUUUUCAUUUUUUUUCCUUUUAUUUGUUCCAAUGCAAAUUUUAUUUUCUUUAUUCUUCUAGAUUUGCUAAAAAAUUAGGUGUCAACAGUAGAGCAAUAUGAACCGCAAGAAAAUAAGAAGAAGGAGUGGAAAAGACAUCAUUUACGAAUUUGAUAAAGCAAAAGGAUUCUUUAUCCGAGGUUGGGAAAUUUAUUUUUUUCUUUUUAAUUAGAUCUCAAACUGAUUUUAAUUAGUUAAAUGUCUUCUCGCAUUUUUUUACUAAAUAUAUGAUAUAGUUUAUUAUAUUUUUUAAUUAAAGAAAAUUAUACUAAAGUGUAAAUUUUUUUACAUGGUACAAUCAAGUCCUUUACAUUUUUAAAAAUGCAAUCUAAUCCUCAUUUUGCAAUUUAUGAAAUCGAGUCCUAGAUUUGUUGCCAUUUGAAUUCAAUUGCAAGAAUUCCUAAAUAUUAUGAUUUGUCGCAAAAUUAAGCAAUAUUUCAACCGUAGUUAUUAAUAAAACAUGUGGGCUUCGUCGAUCAUGGAGUAUAAGUCCUGGUUAUGACUACUAGUUGGAAAAAAAUUUAAAAUUGUAUCUUCUAUGUCAAAUCGAGUCAAGAAAAGUCAGUGAAAAGUUCAAUUAAUCAUUUUUUUAAUGCAGACAAAAAUUUAUUCUCUUGUCUCUAUAUAUUUAAACCAAUCAAUAUUUAUGCAAAGAAAAUAUUUUAAUUUAUUCAUAUAAUGUCUUUAAACAAAUCAAUGUUUACGCGAGGAAUAUUUUAAUAUAUUCAUAUAAUGUGUUUAAGCAUAUUAUAAAAAAGUCAAAAGAAUGAAUACUGGAAGUUUGAUUGUCAAAAUGAAACUUAAUCAUGUUCAUUGUCAUCAUCGGAUUAGCCCCCUGUUGUUGACAAUGAAUUGUGUACCGUAUGAACUUCCUCAAGAAGCACAACAGCGCUGUGCCACAGCUAAAAACUUGGCCAGGAAGGACCUGUCUCGAUAAUUUUCUUUCUGUCCCGUCCCCACCCAAAAGAAAAAGUGUCAACCUUUUGAAUAGUCCCCGCCAUUUCCGGUACUCUUCUAUAAGAAAGGCAAAGCUCUCUGUCUGUGACCACGGCUUGUGAUUUGUGAAGAAGCAGCCUCACACUUGCAGGGUCAAAGCAACGAUCUAGAGGUGCGCAUUUCGUUAUCACUUUGUGUUUUUGAGCUCAGUUGACGCUCUUGUAAGAUAGUGUUAGAAGAAACAACUUGAAGUAGACAUGCUCUCGUUUUUUUUUUUUUUUUUGGUUACUCGCAUCAAUUUAGACGAGGCUUCUGCAUGUCAACAUGCCUCGCCGACGAUUUUCCCCAACCGGAGUUGUUUUUAGUAAUCAUGUAGAUGUUUCUUCAUGAAACUUCUGCAGAUUUGCAUAUUUCUCCAUUUUCUCUUGCUUUCCACUGAGACCGCCUCCCGAUUGUGUCUCUUUCAUUCCAGUUUGAUUUGAAAUAUUUCGGUGAAUUUGUGAUGAUCUGGCGUGAUCAACGUGGGACCAAAGCUCAGAGUCAUGACUGUCGAGUAAACCCUCGUUAAAUGAACUCAACUUAAUUCUGAUGUUAGAGACAAUAGAACGAAAAAAGGAAUCAAUAUCUCAGUACAAGAUAUGAUUUAGAAGCCACAUCAAGAAAUUUUAAAAAAUAGAGUUAGCAGCAUUGAUAUCCUUUAAAAUUCUUUUUCCGAUUGAAAUCCGUCUGUCAUGAAGUGGGACCUAUCGGAAAUUCCAUUUAUUCUAACAAGGCACUACAGAGUAAGCAAGAAGACCUAGCGGUCUAAACAACCAACCUCAUUUUCUUUUUGCAUAAUGUGAAGAGGAGCUAUAAAUAUCUUUCUUGAGAGACCGGCCUGCCCUUCGUCGUCCCAAAUCCAAUUCCAGUCCUUCAGAAUGACUUUUGAAUAACUUUCGACGUCCUUUUCAACCCUUUCAAUUAGUUACCUAUUUUUGACCCCCCAAAAAAAAACUAGUUACCCAUUACCCCAGAGAAUAUUAGAUUACAUAGUUUUCCGCCCGGUGCAAUUGGCAGUUGGCCUACCAAGAACUGAAUGAAGAAGAGAAGAGACUGGAACGAGAUGGAAGCAAACCCUAGAUAAAAUUCUCAUUACUGACGGGGAGGUAAUAAAUUGGUAAUUUAUUAUAUAUACUUCAUUGAAUAGUGAGAAGAUUUUUUUUUUUCUAUUGUUGGAUAGAUUUUGUAAAAUUAAAUUACAUGCACCUGGCCGAUCCGUAUGGAUCUAGGUAAAUAUCUAGGUAAAUAAUAUAAAUGAGACAGACUACACCAAUAUAAUUACUAUACAAAUUCAUUUGCAAGAAUACAACAAUCUCUCUUGUUCGUCCUCCUCCUCCUUAAGGAGAGCUAUAUCUUUUAACUCGGAGAAAAUUACAGAGUUGGAAUGAAUCCUCAUUAGUUACUGGAAGGCAAAUACAAGAUCUGAACGUGCAUGAACAUAUAUAUGAUUCGUUCAAGUAUUUUACCGGGUUUCAAUUUGACCAACCACGUCUAAUCUCUCCGAGAUGAUAACAACUUCUUUGCAGCACCUUGACUCUUCAUUUGUUUCUGCCUUUUUCACUCCCUCCGUUUCUUAACAAUUUGGCCCUUAGAUGGAUAAUUACUGCCACUGCACAUACGAUGAUCGGCCAAAUCUCCAUUGUAUCUACUCACAAGCAGCAUUGACAUGUGUCAUCUUCCUCUCUGCAUAGAGUCACCCAAAGAAUGGCGACGGACAAAGUGAGCUUGAAGCUUCUGGUCAACAAGAGCACCCGAACGGUGCUCUUUGCUGAAGCAGGCAAAGAUUUUGUAGACUUCCUCUUCCACAUCCUUGCAUUGCCGGUCGGAACGGUGAUCCAGCUCCUCACAAAAACCGGGAUGGUGGGCAGUUUAGGCAAUCUCUACGGCAGCGUCGAGAAGCUGAACGAUGUGUACAUUGAACCUUCCAAGAAAGACAUUCUCUUGAAACCCAAAGCACCCUCCUGUGUCUCUGAAAUCCCACUUAUAUUGCCUGAGACUUCUUCAGAUUCAACGCCCAAAACCUACUACAGGUGCCCUCAACGUUCGUAUAAUAACUGUUCA
rnacentral:lncRNA from 1 species